rnacentral:lncRNA from 1 species
AUUUUUGUUACAAAAAAUGUUUAAAAUAUGUUAAACAUGUUUGUGGGCCCCACUUUGUGACUGAAAUUGGAUUAUAGCCCGUAAAAUCGUCCGUUUGUGGAUUUCGGUCAAUUUCUGUUUGGAAUUUGAAAAAACUUAAACUUAAAAAGUUGUAGAGAAUGGAAUUUACUAUGUAAAAGACACGAGGUUCGAAUUUUUCUGAUAAAAGGGCUAUUUGUUAUGAAUUAUUGAAGCUCCGAAGUUCCGAAAUAAUUGAUUUUUGGAAGUUUUAAUUGUUUUAGUUAACAAAAACGUUUUUUGUCAUUUGGUGGGCUCCAAUGGUGUUGUAAACAUGCUGAAUUCAGUUGUCAAAGAGGUGGGCUUGGAUAAUUUUUAUAAAUAUAUAUUUUAUUAAAUUUUCUGCUUUGGUGUUCUAAGCAUUUUCCUAUAAAUAGGGUGCUUAAAUUAGAAUUGAAAAUCACACCAGAAACUGAAGUUUUCUCUCUCUUUCUCUCUCUAUAUUAUCGAGUGUAUUCUUGUGAGUAUUUUGAUACUUUGAGUGUUGCUAUACG